rnacentral:misc_RNA from 1 species
UACGUAGGUGGCAAUCGUUGUCGGGAAUUAUUGGGCGUAAAGCGCGUGCAGGCGGCCUCUUAAGGUUGAUGUGAAAGCCCCCGGCCCAACCGGGGAGGGCCAUUGGAAACUGGGAGGCUUGAGUAUAGGAGAGAAGAGUGGAAUUCCACGUGUAGCGGUGAAAUGCGUAGAGAUGUGGAGGAACACCAGUGGCGAAGGCGACUCUCUGGCCUAUAACUGACGCUGAGGCGUGAAAGCGUGGGGAGCAAACAGG